CCUCCUGCCCCCUACUACUGUACAUGCUAGAGAGCAACAGGGUGUGGGACUGCGAUCAAAGGUAGCGAAUGCCACUCAGGUGAGAGUGCACUCAACGCUGUUGAAAAAAAAGAAAUCAAAGCAAAUCAUGAAGGAAAACAAAACUCCAAACACAACCAUCAAAAGCUAGGCAAACUAAAAUCAAAAUAUUUACAAGAGCUCCAAAAUUAUUACAAAUAUGUCUAGGGCACUAGAGGCCCAACAAAAUUACAUAACACUGAAUCAAAACAACUAUAUGGCCAAACUACCAUCUAAAACCUACAAUCGAACAAAAGCUUCCUCGUCAAGUUCGGGGCUCCAACCGUCACAGGGAUCAUCCACCCGUCUGUCCUCAAAUCGCGAGUUAUCACUCUACAAUGGAGAAAGUCAAAAGAAUGAGCUAUGAAGCCCAGUAAGUUGAUCAAAGCGCCAUGCAUUCAUGCCUAUACAGAGUUAUUCAUAAUCGUCCCCAUGAUUUAUGCAGGUUUUACAUUAUGGGGGUCAUGCAUAACAGUUCUUUUUAUCAGUAAUGUGUCGUGAAUAAUUUCUUUCAUGAUGGAGCAAGCACAAAUCCGAUACCAGAUAUCACAUGAGCUAACACUCUAUCAAACCUUUCUAUUGAAAUAAAAGAUCAAUAAUUCAAGCAAACAGAUAAUAACUGCAAGCAAUCCUAAUAUCAUAUAUUAUCGAAGUAGAAGCUCUAUCAAUCUAGCCAUGCUAAUCUCAUUACUUAUGCUUCGACCAUUACUCAAGAGGGAAGACAAUGAUAAAUGGAUGACCCAUUUCGUAAUGUCUUCACACACACACAUACACAUACGCAAUCCCCAGCGCACUUUGGGGCUUUUGAUAGGCGGUGACUUUGCAAGAUGCGACCCUCAUUUACUAUCCAAUUGGAGGGCAUUACACCACUAAUGGAUGACCCAUUGCAUAGUAUUACUUAUAUAUAUAUUGGGUGGCGCGACCUACCCAUAUGACUCACAUCCUAACUCCCUUCCUAUCAUCGGGAAUCAGGGAAGAUCUCAAUUGCCGACAUAACUUUUGUAUCAUAUCAUAUCACAUUAUACUGCCAGCAGAUGGCCUGUUGCAUAGUGCCCCAUAUCACAUCUGUAGCAUGUCUCAUUUCAACCCUGCACAUUCAAUAUUUCAAAGCAUGUCUUAUUACGCCCAUGCACAUUCAAUAAUUCAUAGUCAUGUCUUAUUACAACCAUGCACAUUCAAUAUUUCAAAGCAUGUCUUAUCAUACACAUUCAAUAAUUCAUAGGCAUGUUUUAUUAUAACCACGCACAUUCAAUAUUUCAAAGCAUGUCUUAUUACAACCAUGCACAUUCAAUAAUUCAUAGGCAAGUCUUAUUUCAACCAUGCACAUUCAAUAAUUCAUAGGCAUUCACUAUUUCAUAACAGAGCAGAAAUUCCAACGUGACAGUCUUACUGAAAAAUGGGCAUGACUUUCAAUCCAUAGGAAAUUUCAUCAUGAUUCUAAAACCAUUUUAAAAAUAUACUUAUACAUCUUUCUUUUAGAAGUGGUUUGGUCUCAUUCUAAGACAUUUUGGUCAGUAAACAAUACUACACAAAACAUGUGAUAGUUCUGAAAAAUUCAGCACAAAUUCUAGUGUGGUAUCCUUGUAGAUGAACGAAGAUAAUUUUCGAAUCAUGAGCAAUUUGAUCAUGCUUCUUGGACUAUAUUCAAAAUAGAUUCGUACAUCAUUCUUUCAAAAGUGGUUUUAACUCAUUUUGACAUAAUUUGGUUAGUAAACCAUUCAAUAGAAAAACAUGUAAAGGUUUUGGAAAAUUUCCUGUUAUCACUAUAGUGACAUCUUUAUAGAAAAAGGGGCAUAAUUUCUAGACCACAUGGAAUUUCUUUUGAUUCCAAAACUAUAUUUAAAGUAGACUCACUCAUAUUUUAUUCAAAAGUAGUUUGAGCUGAUUCUGACAUGAUUUGUUUAGUAAACCGUUCAAUAUAAAAACAUAUAGAGUUUCUGGAAUUCUUUUCACAAUUCGAGCAUAUUCUAGAAAAUAACUCAUAACUUUCCAAUAAAAGAGAUAUUGAUAUGGGGUCUUUUCCCUUUUAAAAUAAAUUCAAAGAGGUACAUCCCCACAAAAUUUCAUA
rnacentral:lncRNA from 1 species